rnacentral:piRNA from 1 species
UCUAAAUCUCCCCAAACAGCGUCACCAACUG